rnacentral:rRNA from 1 species
AAGCGCUUGCAACCAGACUUGCGCGCUGUUGAUCAUCCGAGCUUCUGCCCGGUGCACUCAGCAGCGUUCAGGCCAGCAUCAGCUUGCCGUCGGGGACAAAAGCUUCAGGAACGUAGCUCUCUUCGGGGAGUGUUAUAGCCUGUUGCAUAAUACCCUUCGGCGGGCUGAGGUACGCGCUCCGCAAGGAUGCUGGCGUAAUGGUCAUCAGCGA